ACUGCCCCCUGGGUAGUCCUAAGCAAAGCUUUAGCUGUAAUUGGUGCAUGUAGAAGUGGAGGAAGGCACAGGAAGUGACGCAAAAGAACCAUCUUUAAAAAGGAGUUACAACUUCCUGUGGACAGUUCUUCCUUCUUUAGAGUUCUGAGUUUGAGUUGGAGGCUGGUGAAGAAUCUGCUCACUGCACCUGAUACCUUGGACUUGGUGAGACUGUUCUUAAAUCUCUCCCUAUGAACUACCACAUGGGAGCAGCUGUUCCAAAACUUUCCCCAUGUCCUGAAGCCUCCAUGAUGACUGCCUCCCACCUCUAUCUUAUCUGAGGAAUUCAGUUUUACAUUGGCCAUAUAUCAUCUCAGAAUAAUCAACUCCAUCCAAUUUUUCCCAUUUUGAAGAAUUUGUUAUUUGGGUGUCAUUCUAUAAAAAUGUCUUGAUCUAAAGGUAAGAUUUUUUUAAAAGUAAAUUUUAUUUAAAUUUAAUUUAAUUUAAAAUUAACUGCCAUGAAAGAAGUUAA
rnacentral:lncRNA from 1 species